GGUGGCUCCCGUGCCUCUCCUAUCACUCCACACCCCCAUCCCCGAGCUGCUCCGGUCCCACUGCCCCUCUCCGGGGCCGGCCCGACCGCCCCAGCGCCGCUUUCCCAUAGACUUUGUACCAGCGGCCAAAAUUCCCCUGGGUAAAACCCGGCAAAACCUGCCACGAGCUCCGCUGCCCGACGAGGGAGGGAGGGCACUUUUUCCCUCUCCGCUCCCCAUUUCCCCACGAGACACCCAUCCCCGGUGGAUGUCCCCGCGUUCCCCACCCAGGGUCCCCUCGGGGCCGCCCCGCACUGCCCCAGCUGCCCAAGAGAUGGCGCCGCCGCCUCGCUGGACCCCCCCGGCGCCGAGCCCCCACCCCCCCAGCGCCGGGUCGCCUGCAUCAGCCAUAAAACCAUUGAGGAUAUCAAGACAGGCGCCAGCCCCGACGCCACCUCUCCGUCCAUAAAAGCCCCACCUCGCUCCGAGGCACAUCGGCAUACCUUGACAUUUCCCCAGCCCUCACCUUGGGCAGGCUGGGAAGGGAAGAGAGGGAGCGAAAAAUCCUGGGGGAAGGGGGAGAGAAAAACCCAUCUCAGUUCAAAUCCCCGGCGACCCGGCCGGCUACGUGUCCCGGGAUUCAAAUACACCCCUUAAGAUGGGAAUAAUCCCCCAAAAAGCAAAGGAUACGAAAUGAACAGGGAAAAGGGCUCGAGGUGUGCGGAAGGGUCCCUCUGGGUGCCCGGCCGAUGUGCUCAGCAUCCCCGUGAGCCCCCGGCGCACGCUCCCAACCGGAGGUGGGGAAAUGUCCCUUUCUGCCAAAAUUUGCCCCCAAAACGAGCGGGGCUGGCCGGGCGAGGCGGUCGGGGGCUGCAGCAGGGGGGUCCCCCCGCCCCGCACGGCUGGGCCCGGCGGAGCUGCUUGGAAAACAAGGGGGGAAAAGCUCCGUGGCCGCGUUCUCCCUGAGCACCUCUUUCUCUCGCCGGCACAGGACCCAGAGGCAGCAGGCCGAGGAGCAGGCAGAGCAUAAAACAGGAUCCGGGCUGGAAGUACAUCCUUAUAAUAUUUAUUACUGGCGGAGGAUGAAUCACUUUCCAAUAUACGGGCCACUAACUGUUGAAGGGGGGGAAAUCUCUUUAACGAGGAGGAAUAUAUAUGUUGUGCUUAGGGAUGUGCUCACGGGCUGGCAGCGCUGCAGGCAGGGGCUGCCAGCUCCUUGCUCUGCUCCCGGUGACCGCCCAGCCCACGUCUGCCCCCAGCACCACGCCGCUCCACAGCUUAUUCUCAGCGUCUCCUCAGCCCCACAGCACAAAGGGGGGAACCCUACGAGGACCCCCUCCAGCCCCCCGGCCGGGUGCUGACUGGAAGGAUCCAUCCCGUGCCCGGACAGCGCCAUAACCUCAGCGGUUCGGGAACUCUUUACCUGGAAACUUUUGAGGGGAGGAUUCUGCAUUAAAUUUUAACCGAUCUAUUCUCCGAUUCUUCACUUUUGCUUUAUUAAUUUAUGACAGAUAAAAGCAUCGCUGAGCCGUUCUCAUUAACUUUUCAAACGCCACUUAAUCUCGUUCCAUUAAAAGAGGUGACUUAGUACCCUCUGGAUCCGCUUUAAAAGAAGGGG
ensembl:lncRNA